rnacentral:rRNA from 1 species
UGUUCCCUACGGGGGGCAGCAGUGAGGAAUAUUGGUCAAUGGGCGGAAGCCUGAACCAGCCAAGUAGCGUGCGGGAUGAAGGCCCUACGGGUCGUAAACCGCUUUUGCACGGGGAUAACACCCUCCACUUGUGGAGGUCUGCAGGUACCGUGCGAAUAAGGGCCGGCUAAUUCCGUGCCAGCAGCCGCGGUAAUACGGAAGGCCCGAGCGUUACCCGGAUUCAUUGGGCUUAAAGGGAGCGUAGGGGGGCGUUCAAG